AACUUGUACAAAAGCUGUCAGAUUACGAACAAAAGAUCAAGGAAUCAAAGAAAUAUAUUCAAGAAACCAAGAAACAAAAUAUGAUUCUUCGUGAUGAAGCAAUUAAAUAUAAGGAUAAAAUCAAGACACUUGAAAAAACUAAUGAAAUUCUGGAUGACAGAGCUAAAAGUCUUCGUAUUACAUUAGAAUCUGAGAGAGAACAUACUGUCAGGAAUCAGGAC